GUCCUUUUGAAUUUAAUAUAAGGUUUGACCUGCCCACUGAAAUUUUGAAUGGCCGCAGUAAUUUGACUGUGCAAAGGUAGCAUAAUCAUUAGUUUUUUAAUUAAAAGCUUGUAUGAAGGGUUGGACGAGGUAAAAGCUGUCUCUAUUUAAUUUAAAGUAGAAUUUAAUUUUUAAGUUAAAAAGCUUAAAUAUUAUUAAAAGACGAGAAGACCCUAUAGAUCUUUAUAUUAUUUUUUUUUAAUUUUAAUUAAGAAUAUUUUAUUUAUUAAUAAAAAUAUUAUUUUAUUGGGGUAAUAAAAAGAUUAAAAAAAUUCUUUUUUUAUUUAUACAUUAAUAAAUGAAUUUUUGAUCCAAUAUUAUUGAUUAAAAGAUUAAGUUACCUUAGGGAUAACAGCGUAAUUUUUUUAGAGAGUUCAUAUCGAUAAAAAAGUUUGCGACCUCGAUGUUGGAUUAAAAAUUAUCUUAGGUGCAGAAGUUUAAGAUUUUGGUCUGUUCGACCAUUGAAUUUUUACA
rnacentral:rRNA from 1 species